AGCUACGGCAAUACCUAGUUGAAAACCCCGGAACUCGUCUAAUAUCCGAAGUUAAGCAACAGUGGGUCGGGUUAGUACUUGGAUAGGUGACAGGCUGGGAACACCAGGUGAUGUAGGCU
rnacentral:rRNA from 1 species